AUACGUAGGGGGCUAGCGUUAUCCGGAAUUACUGGGCGUAAAGGGUGCGUAGGUGGUUUCUUAAGUCAGAAGUGAAAGGCUACGGCUCAACCGUAGUAAGCUUUUGAAACUAAGAGACUUGAGUGCAGGAGAGGAGAGUAGAAUUCCUAGUGUAGCGGUGAAAUGCGUAGAUAUUAGGAGGAAUACCAGUUGCGAAGGCGGCUCUCUGGACUGUAACUGACACUGAGGCACGAAAGCGUGGGGAGCAAACAGGAUUAGAUACCCUGGUAGUCCACGCCGUAAACGAUGAGUACUAGCUGUCGGGGGUUACCCCCCUCGGUGGCGCAGCUAACGCAUUAAGUACUCCGCCUGGGAAGUACGCGCGCAAGAGGGAAACUCAAAUGAAUUGACGGGG
rnacentral:rRNA from 1 species